rnacentral:rRNA from 1 species
CACGUAGGCGGAUUAGUCAGUCAGAGGUGAAAUCCCAGGGCUCAACCCUGGAACUGCCUUUGAUACUGCUAGUCUUGAGUUCGAGAGAGGUGAGUGGAAUUCCGAGUGUAGAGGUGAAAUUCGUAGAUAUUCGGAGGAACACCAGUGGCGAAGGCGGCUCACUGGCUCGAUACUGACGCUGAGGUGCGAAAGUGUGGGGAGCAAACA